rnacentral:snRNA from 1 species
AUACAUUUCUUAGUCUUUUGGCUAAGAUAAGGUAUAAUAUUUGUUUUUAUCAGUUUAACAUCUAAUAUGCGUAUGAUAUUAAAUUUAUUUUUUAUAGAUAUUAAAUAUGGGUACAACGUACAUGUAUUGAACUAGUAUCUCAUCUAUUGGGGACUUGAUCGUGUCAACGCACGGAAUGACGAAUU